CCAAAAAAAAAAACAAAAACUCUAACACCUUAAUAUCUCUGACUUCUUCAAAUUUAUCUCCCCUCCUUAAUAAAAUCCCAUUUCCUUAAUAAUAUCUCAUAUGGGUAUCCUUUAAAUCCCUCAAAUUCAGAUGGGUUUGCUUUAAAAUCAUACAACAUGCAUUACUUUACUCUCUGCUGAACUGGGUUUUGCUGUUACAUUUACUUAUUCAGAUGGCUGUCAAAGUUGCUUCUUCUUCAUUUUCUUGCAUUGCCACUCCACUUUCUUCUCCUUUUAAACUAAGGAGAAGCUCCCAGCUGAGCUUGUCAGAAAGACCAUAUAAUGGACUACAUUAUAAACUUAGAAAUGCUGAUGUUCACUCGUGCCACUUCAUAGGUGAUCUACCAAAAUUAAAGGGAAAAUUUCCCAGAAGGCAACAUAUUAUCUUUGCAGCCUCUCAAGAUCAGUCACAGUACAGUGAGAUUAAACCAGAUGCAUCAGAAGAAGAAGAUGACCAUCCUACUGCUGAAGCUCUCCCUACUACUAGCAGUUCAAUUAAUCAUUUCCCAGGAACUGAUGGGAAACCUGGUUUAAUUUCAUUUUAUAAUCGCCCAUAUAAAAUGGUGGAUGAAGUCAUUAUAUCUAAUGUGCAAAGGAAUCCAAGCAGUCUAUUAUGGUUCAUUGGUCCUGCUGUCCUUGUAGCCUCUUUCAUUUUCCCGUCGCUUUAUUUACGCAAAAUACUCUCUGCAGUAUUCGAGGACUCUUUGCUUACAGAUUUCCUCAUAUUGUUCUUCACGGAAGCUCUUUUCUACUGUGGUGUUGCUGUUUUUCUUCUGCUAAUAGACCAUUUAAGGAGGCCAGUGGAACCAUUAUCUUCUGUAAACAAUAACAUAACCCUGGCUCCCCAUUUGGGACAGCGAAUCUCUUCUGUAGCUGCCUUGGUACUUAGUCUUAUAAUUCCCAUGGUUACAAUGGGCUUGGUCUGGCCGUGGACUGGUCCUGCAGCUUCUGCAACUCUUGCUCCAUACCUGGUUGGUAUCGUAGUACAAUUUGCAUUUGAGCAGUAUGCAAGAUACCGGAAGUCACCUUCUUGGCCUGUCAUUCCAAUCAUCUUUCAAGUUUAUAGAUUGCAUCAACUGAAUAGAGCCGCACAACUGGUGACAGCCCUGUCAUUCACAGUGAGAGGAGCUGAAAUGACCUCACACAAUUUGGAAAUAAGCAGCUCUUUAGGCACACUUUUGAAUGUCCUUCAAUUCCUUGGGGUCAUCUGCAUUUGGUCGCUGUCAAGCUUCCUCAUGAAAUUUUUCCCACCAACUGCCAGGACUGCAGAGUGAUGCUUGAACAUCGAAGAGUUGGUAUGGCUGUAUCUCGCUUUGCUGAAUAGAAUGCCAAUGCUUGAUUCAGCUUUAAGAAUUGUUCCGUGAGCUUCUUUUGCCUAUAAUAUGAAAUUCCUACCGUUCCUUGACUUCCAUCAUGGUCUUCAAAUAAUGAAUCGCAUGUGGAGAGGGAGGGAACUGGGAAGUGAGGAAGCAAAGAGUAAUUAUAGUCACUAGGGCAGUAUUCUUCCUUAGCAAAAGCAAAAGCAAAAGCAAAAGCAAAUAUCGAAGCACUUGGGUAGCAAACGGUACAUGCUGAUAUGUACAUUGUUUCCUUGUCUGGGGUUGGUGAUGGGACAGAGCCUAUUGGAAUAUCAUUCAUUGUGGUUGUCUCUGCUUAGAUCCUGAGAAGCUAAGCAAAGGUAGAUGUAAAAAGCUGCCAUCGAUGCAAACACAAUUUCCAAUCAACUAUGAAGUGAACUUGCUUGUCCUUACAUGUUUAGCUUCUUUUUGGAAGAAUCCUUUCAAGAUGCAAAUUUCUCUUUCAUUAGGAUUAAUCAAGUCCUAAUUGGGCCAAAGAAGCAGUUCUUGAGAAAACUUCGUGUGGUCCUGGCUUUAUUCUGGAAUUAAAUAUCAUUAGUAAGUUGGUUUCUACUGUAAAA